AGAUUGAACGCUGGCGGCAUGCCUAACACAUGCAAGUCGAACGGGAGUAGCAAUACUCUAGUGGCGGACGGGUGAGGAAUACGUAGGAAUUUGCCCUUAAGUGGGGGAUAACCCGGGGAAACCCGGAUUAAUACCGCAUGACCUCGAAAGAGCAAAGUGGGGGAUCGCAAGACCUCACGCUUUUGGAGAAGCCUACGUCGGAUUAGCUAGUUGGUGAGGUAAUGGCUCACCAAGGCGACGAUCCGUAACUGGUCUGAGAGGAUGAUCAGUCACACCGGAACUGAGACACGGUCCGGACUCCUACGGGAGCAGCAGUGGGGAAUAGUGGACAAGUGGGCGACAAGCCUGAUCCAGCAAUGCCGCGUGUGUAGAAGAGGCCGUUGGUUGUAAGGUACACGUUUAACGGUUAGGUAAAGAAAAACGUACGACUACUAACAAC
rnacentral:rRNA from 1 species